rnacentral:rRNA from 1 species
UGGGGAAUCUUGGACAAUGGGCGCAAGCCUGAUCCAGCCAUGCCGCGUGGAUGAUGAAGGCCUUAGGGUUGUAAAAUCCUUUCGUGGGGGACGAUAAUGACGGUACCCCAAGAAGAAGCUCCGGCUAACUUCGUGCCAGCAGCCGCGGUAAUACGAAGGGGGCUAGCGUUGUUCGGAUUUACUGGGCGUAAAGCGCGUGUAGGCGGGUCGUUAAGUUGGGGGUGAAAUCCCGAGGCUCAACCUCGGAACUGCCAUCAAAACUGGCGACCUGGACUCAAGCAGAGGCAAGUGGAAUUGCGAGUGUAGAGGUGAAAUUCGUAGAUAUUGGGAAGAACACCAGUGGCGAAGGCGGCUAACUGGUCCGGUACUGACGCUGAGGUGCGAAAGCGUGGGGAGCAAACAGGAUUAGAUACCCUUGUAGUCCCUGAGCGGGCUGGCAAGGCGCAU